UACGUAGGGGGCUAGCGUUGUCCGGAAUCAUUGGGCGUAAAGAGCGUGUAGGCGGCUUGGUAGGUCUGCUGUGAAAACUCGGGGCUCAACCCCGAGACGUCGGUGGAAACCACCUGGCUAGAGUCCGGAAGAGGAGAGUGGAAUUCCUGGUGUAGCGGUGAAAUGCGUAGAUAUCAGGAGGAACACCUGCGGUGUAGACGGCUUACUGGACCAUAACUGACGCUGAGGCACGAAAGCGUGGGUAGCAAACAGG
rnacentral:rRNA from 1 species